UCUGAGUUUUUUUUUUUUUUUUCCGAUACAAUCAAUAGCUGACUUUAGUUAGGGUUUGACUUAUACUUUAACACUUAACACUUAACACUUUCCUCAAUUCCAUCGAGCAAAACACCCACUUCUGCCUCCAGCUGAAAAUCACUUUCUCUCUCUCAUCCCUCGGUCCUGCCCUCAGUCCUCCCUCAGUCCCGCUCUCAGCCCCGCCCUCAGCCCGCUCUCAGACCACGAACCCGUCUCUACUAAGCAGUUUGAAGGCAGAUCCUCUCAAACUUAGCCGGAGUUCGUCAUAUUUAGAGUAAGGAUUGCACAGAGGACCAAAGCCCCAAAACUCCGACCAUAGAUCGGAACUCAGAGAGCUCCACCAUCCCUACAAAACUAGGCACACCUCCUUACUUCACCGCCAUCACGCCAAAACCUCCGCCACGCCAAAACCACCGCUUGUCAACAACGAUUUCAGACAUGCACGAUUUGGUCAAGGACGCCCAACUCUCCUUGACAUCUCAGUCCAAAAAGGCAGAGUACUAGAUCAAUUUACUUUUGUCAUUGCACAUUGAUUCAUCACUGUGAUCAGAAGAACACUUGCGCCGGGCUCGAGCACCAAAUGGUUUGCAGAGUCGUGGAGAGCCUCAAGCUAUUAGACGAACCCUGAUAAGAUCAACAAUGUAGAUCAGUUGGGGCAAAUGGAAGAUUCAAUUCAAGAAUCGUGUAACCAGGUUACAUAAGCCACUGCUCUGGUUCUUAAAGACACGAAGACUCCUAUGAAAGGUCCACCUGGGGUGGAGUUUACUACCAAGCGCUUCUUGCACUGAACGGUUAGUUUGGAUCAUAUCAGGCAAGUGAGGAACCCUUUGAACAUGACCAUCAACGAUGUUAUAUUGGGAGUGAGUGAGUGACACAAGCAGGUUUCUCGCCGUAUUUGAACAGCAGAUAUGAAAAUUUCCGAGCUCUUUGUACAGGGACUUUUCUCUUUUAUUUACAACGCAAAAAAUACUAUAAAGUAUACGCAAGUGGUUGCUUGAUGAAAAUGAAGGGUGUUCGAUAUAUUAGCAAAGAAAGCAUCUUUUUGGCUGCUGCACCACAGGUUAUGAUUGAAGAUAUUGGGAAGCAGAUUAAGCAACUAUAAACCUACAAGUGGGAUCAAAAUUUACAAUGCUCAAAGAAAUAGGUCUGGCCGGAAAUCAAUAGUGUGGCAAAACAUGGGGGGUAUUCCGGCACAACAAAAUGUGAAGGACUGUGGCAUAUUCAUCAUGCGGUACAUGAAGGAAAUAAUUGAGGAUAAGAAUUUGGGUUUUGCUUCAAAGUGGCAGCGACGAUCCGAAUUGAUCUACACCCAAAAGGAUGUUGAUGUUGUGAGGUCAGAGUGGGCUAAGUUUGUGAUGAAGUAUCAUAUUUCAUAGCUGUGAUGGUUGUUCAAGGCAGGGCUCUUAUUUAGGGGUAUUUGAUCACCCUCCUGCGACUGAUGGUUUUAGUUUUUGCUUUAGUUAAUAGACAUGGUUAAUGCGCAGUUGAAGGCAUUUUUGUGUUGGUAUUUUGAUGAGCCUCCUGCUAGCUGGUUUUAGUUUUUGCUUGUUAUAGGCACGGUUAAUGCGCAGUUGAAGGCAUUUUUGUUUUGGUAUUUUGAUGAGCCUCCUGCUAGCUGGGUUUAGUUUUUGCUUUAGUUAUAGGCAUGGUUAAUGCGCAUUGGACGCGUUUAUAUAUGUUUUCCGGCUUUAUGCAGUUAUAGGCAAUGUUAAUUCUUAUGUAAAUAUUGGAAUGAAUAUUGCUGAUGGAAUGAAAUGGCUUUUGGAAUCAAGGAUGUGUUCAAUUGUACAGAA